rnacentral:rRNA from 1 species
GAGUUUGAUCCUGGCUCAGGAUGAACGCUGGCGGCGUGCCUAAUACAUGCAAGUCGAGCGAACAGAUAAGGAGCUUGCUCCUUUGACGUUAGCGGCGGACGGGUGAGUAACACGUGGGUAACCUACCUAUAAGACUGGAAUAACUCCGGGAAACCGGGGCUAAUGCCGGAUAAUAUUUAGAACCGCAUGGUUCUAAAGUGAAAGAUGGUUUUGCUAUCACUUAUAGAUGGACCCGCGCCGUAUUAGCUAGUUGGUGGGGUAAUGGCUUACCAAGGCAACGAUACGUAGCCGACCUGAGAGGGUGAUCGGCCACACUGGAACUGAGACACGGUCCAGACUCCUACGGGAGGCAGCAGUAGGGAAUCUUCCGCAAUGGGCGAAAGCCUGACGGAGCAACGCCGCGUGAGUGAUGAAGGUCUUCGGAUCGUAAAACUCUGUUAUUAGGGAAGAACAAAUGUGUAAGUAACUGUGCACGUCUUGACGGUACCUAAUC